rnacentral:rRNA from 1 species
ACAGUUCGGUCCUUAUCCGCCGUGGGCGUAGGAUACUUGAGGGGAGCUGUCCCUAGUACGAGAGGACCGGGAUGGACGCACCUAUGGUGUUCCAGUUGUCCCGCCAGGGGCAUCGCUGGGUAGCUACGUGCGGAAGGGAUAAGCGCUGAAAGCAUCUAAGCGCCAAGCCCACCCCAAGAUAAGGUAUCCCUCCUCGUAAGAGGACUAAAGGCCCCUUGAAGACAACAAGGUUGAUAGGCCGGGUGUGUAAGCGGAGUAAUCCGUUCAGCUAACCGGUACUAAUAGGCCGUGCGGCUUGACCAU